GGAUUGUAAACUUCUUUUAUAUGGGAAUAAAGUGCGGCACGUGUGCCGUUUUGUAUGUACCAUAUGAAUAAGGAUCGGCUAACUCCGUGCCAGCAGCCGCGGUAAUACGGAGGAUCCGAGCGUUAUCCGGAUUUAUUGGGUUUAAAGGGAGCGUAGGCGGAUUGUUAAGUCAGUUGUGAAAGUUUGCGGCUCAACCGUAAAAUUGCAGUUGAUACUGGCAGUCUUGAGUGCAGUAGAGGUAAGCGGAAUUCGUGGUGUAGCGGUGAAAUGCUUAGAUAUCACGAAGAACUCCAAUUGCGAAGGCAGCUUGCUGGACUGUAACUGACGCUGAUGCUCGAAAGUGUGGGUAUCAAACAGGAUUAGAUACCCUGGUAGUCCACACAGUAAA
rnacentral:rRNA from 1 species